UUCCCCAGCCAGGGAUUGAACCUGGGCCCCCGGCAGUGGAAGUGCAGAGUCCUAACCACUGGACCACCAGGGA
rnacentral:tRNA from 1 species